rnacentral:rRNA from 1 species
UACGGAGGAUCCAAGCGUUAUCCGGAAUCAUUGGGUUUAAAGGGUCCUAGGCGGUUUGGUAAGUCAGUGGUGAAAGCCCAUCGCUCAACGGUGGAACGGCCAUUGAUACUGCUAGACUUGAAUUAUUAGGAAGUGAACUAGAAUAUGUAGUGUAGCGGUGAAAUGCUUAGAGAUUACAUGGAAUACCAAUUGCGAAGGCAGGUUAACUACUAAUGGAUUGACGCUGAUGGACGAAAAGCG